GGGUGAGAUCAUAGCAGCGUUAACGCUUCAGAUGCCAUCAGAACUCCGCACUUAAGCGCGAUUGGGCUAGAGUAGUACUGGGAUGGGUGACCUCUCGGGAAGUCCUAGUGUUGCACCCU
rnacentral:rRNA from 1 species